rnacentral:rRNA from 1 species
GACGAACGCUGGCGGCGUGCUUAACACAUGCAAGUCGAACGAAGUGGCGGACGGGUGAGUAACGCGUAAUCAACCUGCCCUUCAGAGGGGGACACCAGUUGGAAACGACUGCUAAUACCGCAUACUGAAGGAGGGGAUUGCGUCGGAUUGGCUGGCUGGAGGGGUAACGGCCCACCAAGGCGAUGAGCAGUUGCCGGUCUGAGAGGAUGAACGGCCACAUUGGGAAUGAGACACGGCCCAGACUCCGACGGGAGGGAGCAGGGGGGAAUUUUGCGAAAUGGGCGAAAGUCUGACGGAGCAACGCCGCGGGAGUGAUGAAGGCCUUCGGGUUGUAAAGCUAUGUUAAUCGGGACGCGGUACCGGAAUAGAAAGCAACGGCUAACUCCGUGCCAGCAGCCGCGGUAAUUC